UCAGUUGCUAUUCUAGUGCAAAAUAUUAGGCCAUGUUUGUAUGCACCGUUGAAUUGAAUUGCAAAUAUUAGGCCAUGUUUGAAUGCAAAAUAUUAUGUCCUUCUCUCCUUCCAUUUAUUCCAAUUGAUAAGUGAACGGCUCCAACUUAUAUUGACAGUGAAGCAAAAAUGCAUCAUCUUAGCAAAGGUGCAGCAGAGCAGGUAAUGUUGCCAUUACCUUUGUGGUUUUCUUGUUACUAACAACUCUAAUUGUCAGUGGCUAGUUGGUUGCUUAUCCUCCUUGGGCGAUGGUUUUGCAUAUUCUGAAACUUGCAUGCAAUAAGUCAGCCAUAGUGCAGAGAGUUAACGCUGCGAUUAGCAAGUUUGCAGAUAGAAGACUUCGAUCACUUACUAUAGCAUUCCAGGAGGCUCCAGAGGGAAGCAAAUAUAGUCCGAGAGGUCCAUGUAAAUUCAUCGAUCUCAUGCCUCUCUUUAAUCUUCCCUGGCAUGAGAGUACAGAAACAAUCAGGCACACUUUGAAUAAAUCUUGAAAUAAUCACAUUGUAUGCAGAUUUGAGUGACAGACAAUCAAUACGUCUGUGUCUCUGUGUGCAUCCAAUUAAAUAUGGGCAAUGCCAUUCUGUCAAGAGAUGCCUGCCAAACUCGUUGAAAUGUCAUCUUCCUUUUACUCUUCCUUUGGCUCCCAAUGAUUUGUUUCUUUCUUCUCUUUUGAUGUUUGGCAGUGCCAACGUCUCAGUGGGAGUGAAAGAAGACCAGUUGGUGAUGACAGGAAUGCACACAGUUGUUGACAUAUUUUGUGUCGGUUGUGGGUCAAUUGUGGGGUGGAAAUAUGUAAGCUUGGGGGGCAAGGCUUUAGCAUUAUGGUCCAUGUAUAUAUUAAAAUAAUGGUUGGUUAAUGAUUUUGCUUUCAGGAGGCCGCACAAGUUCAUUUUAUGUUUUCAUCAUGGAUGUAUCCUAAAUAAGUUCUCUACUAUGUUAGACAUGUUGUCAUUCACUAUGUUAAACUUAUUUUACCUUUUCUUUGAUGAUG